AAAUCAUCGAUCAUGUUUUGUAGCUUCCUAGCACUUGAUGCUUCUUGGGAGAUAAAUCAACUCAUCACUAACUCAUCACAAACCUUCUAGGAGUGUACAUAUUAUAAUUAAUCCAUGUUACUGCAGUAAACACUUUUUAAGUGAUUUGUUCAGAAAUUAACAUUAAGUAUUAUACAGUUUUUUGUGUUGUUUAGUUCACUUUCAAUUUUUAUCUGAUAUACUAAAUAUAAUAUGAUUUAUCAAGGGGUGGGUGGCUUAAACCUUUGGGCUUAGUGUUUGUCUUCUUAGUUGAAAACUAACCACAAUGAAGUCAUCUGGA